GGUAAAGGUUCAUGUUCAUCUCUGUUGUUUUGUUAUUCUGGAUCUAGAGACAAAAGUACAAACAAGAACCUGGAACAGAGUUUGGCUUCUGUCUUAUUAUGGAUUAGAUUCUAUUAACCUUGACAAAACCAGAAGGAUUAGGUCAACAUUUAGAUUGUCAAAGUUGACUGGAUAAAAGGUUUAUUUUAUUUUUAGAGACAGAGUCUUGUUCUGUUGCCCAGACUGGAGUACAGUGGUGUGAUCAUUGUUCACUGCAGCCUCAAACUCCUGGCCUCAAGUGAUCCUCCUGCCUUGGCCUCCCAAAGUGCUAGGAUUAGAGGCGUGAGCCACCACGACUGGCCCUAGAGAUUAUAAUUAUGAAAGAAUGUAGGUUUAAAAAAUUCAACCUAAUAUAUUAUUUGGUUAACUACAAACAGAGAUUUAUGGCAUAUAAUCAUUUGCUAAGGGAAAAACUAAAACAAUGUUUGUUUUGAGACAGGGUAUUUCUCUGUUACCCAGGUUGGAGUGCAGUGGUGUGAUCUUGGCUCAGUGUAGCCUCCACCUGCUGGGCUCAAGCUAGAACUACAGGUGCAUGCCACAAUGCCUGGCUAAUUUUUAAAUUUUUUUAGAGACAGGGUCUCUUUAUAUUGCCCAGACUGGUCUUGAACUCCUGGGCUCAAGCUAUUCUCCAGCCUUGGUCUCCCAAAGUGCUAUGAUUACAGGCAUGAGCCACUGUGCCUAGCCUGUAACAAUGUUUUUGAGGUAGCUCUAAAGUGAAAGGCAGAAUAUCUGUUGUUACAUAUGACAAAAAAUAGUCAAUUGACAUGUAUCUUGUGCACACAGGACUACAGAAGAAAUUCUGCUCAUAUGAGAAAGAAACAUUGAUCAAUUUUCUAAUUAACAAAUACUGUAUUCAAUCUCUUGUCUACCCAAAUAACUUAGCCAAGGAUAAGUUCUAAUCAGACUCUAUGAACUGAGAAUUACAAAUCAACUGAAGAAAGUAACAUCACUUUUUUUAUUUGAUUCAAACCCAUUUUCAUAUACAAAGCUAAUUUAUUAUGUACAAAAUAAAUGGACAUUCUUAAAAAGUAUUAGAAUACAAAUUUCCAAGGGCCUAAAAUAAGUGCAAAAUUUUCAAUUAUCUUUAAUCAUGCUAUACAGAAACAAAUCAAGUAUUAGCUCAUAUACACACAAUGAAUUUUUUAAAAAUAGCACUUAAUGUAAUAAAACAAAACAUACAUCUUAUAUAUUUAAUUUUAAAAGGAUGAGGAAGGAAAGAAUGUAUUGCACCAAACUAACAGUAACUUAACUACAAUGAGAAUAAUCAAAAUUAUUUAUACAUCUUUAUUAAAAAUUGCUCAGCUUUAAAAUGUUUUUGGGGGGCAUACAAAUAUCCACUGAGUCACAGUUUGCACAGUCAAUAAUUAGAUAUAAAUAAGGCAUAAUAUUUUCUUUUUCAUGGUCAAUUCCAGUAGAAUAAGUGAGAAGGAACAUUUUAAGAUAAAUACACAACUUUCUGAAUUCCUUCAAUAUUUAAGUAGCAGCACAAUUUCUUAACACAGAAAACUGAAUUAUUUCCUAUUUGGAAUUAAACAUCUUAAAUGUUAAUGCGUUCUUCUCUGUUAUACCUAUAAAAAAUUAAAGAUUAUUUCCAUACAGAGGCUGUACCUGCAAAAGUCAUUGGAAGUAGUAGAUAAUUUACCCAAUGCUUUUUAAUUAGGAAAAUUCUAUUGAUUACAAGCUUCAAGGCUCUAAGAGAUCUACUUUUAUGUUUUAAAUUUAGCAUGUUAGUCAUGUUUUUUUCUUCUUUAAAAUGUUGCCUAAUUCAAGUUUGCAAAACGUUCACUGAAAGUCACCAGGAACUAAUAUUAGCAAACAGAUGUACUUUUCUGGAGGCAAAUAUUAGUUAUAAUUUUCAAAUGUGAACAGUCUAAAGAGAGUUCAUGAUAAAAAUAACUCAAUUGAAAGGAGAUUUUGUUGUUUUUGUGGCAGGCAAAACAAAGAUAAUAAAGCCAUUCCAAGCAAAUUUUAGACAAAAUGUCCCUCAGGAUAAUGAUUAAGCCUAUUUUCAAAUAAGUCUGAAUAUUGGAUCUGGUAUAUAAAGAUAAAUGGACAAAUUUCUAUGCAGAAAAAUUUUUAGGAUAUAACAUAAUAAUCCUCAGACAUAAUUUUUUAAUACCAAGAAUAUCAAGCAAAGAGAUUCAUGAAGUCCAAAGCAGUGCCUACAUAUCUGUAUAUUUAUAAACUCCACAGAGAAGUCUGAUCUGUAAUAUCCAUUAAGAACCACUGGCCUAGAAACUGCCAGAUUUAAAUUUAAAAAAAUGUAUUUUUGGAGACAGGGUCUAACUCUGCCACCUAGGCUGAAGUGCAGUGGUGCAAUCACAGCUUACUGCAGCCUUGAUCUCUAGGCUCAAGCAAACCCCUUGCCUCAGCCUCCCGAGCAGCUAGGACUACAGGCGCUUGCCAGCACACAAGGCUAAUUUUUUAAUGUCUUGUAGAGGUGGAGCCCACUAUGCUGCCCAGGCUGGUCUUGAGCUCCUAGGCUCCAGUGAUCCUCCUGCCUCAGCCUCCUAAAGUGCUGAGAUUAUAGGCAUGAGCCACCAUGCUUGGCCUAGAUUUAAACUAAAGAAGGCAGGCUGUGGUCCACAUUUUAAAUCAUAUUAAAAUGAUGACUGAUAACACUAUAUUGUUGCCUAAGGUCAUCAAGAAAAAUACCACAUGACUCUGAUAAAUACAGGAAAACUCUAUAGAACAAUGCUCUGGAUGGAGUCAAGUUUAAAACAAAUAAUAUGUUGAGCAUAUACAAUAUACGAAUUCAGCAAAAAGAAUAUUGAGAAUGGAUUUUGUUAAAGAGUGAUGAAAAUGUUUAAGAUUGCUCACUUAUUGGGGAGAAACAGUUUCAGCUGAUGAGAGGAACAAUGCGUAGGAUAAGCCAUGAGUAUGGCUGAUGAUGCAAACAAACAAACAAAAAGGAAACAAACAAACAUGUUUCAUUUCUUAUAUCCCAGUCAAAAACUGUAUCCUAAAGAUAGGUUCAAGAACCUGUUUCCAGAAGACAGGUUUAAAUAUACAUAUUUGAAAAGACCAAUCUUUACACACACAUAACCCCAACAGACACCCAUAUUACAUAUAUUAUUUAAUAAUAUAAUAUUUAUAUUUAAUAUAGUCCUAGGACUUGCAUCUUUUCAGUGGAAAGGUGGUAAAGAUAAUGCUACUCAUUUUAUAAAUAUAUAAAAGGAGCUAACUUCCUUAAGUUCAAUUACAAGAUUUCCUCAGUGGUCUCUUUAGUAGUAACAAUAUAAAAUAUACAUAAAGGCAAAGGUCAUAUCUCUAUCAUCAUUAAAUAAAAAUCUGGUAUCCAAGUUAACAGUUUCCCCUGACCACUCCUUUUCACACAAAAUAUAAAAUGUCUUAAGAUUCAACCGUCAAAUCUGAAUUCUAAUUCUGAGAGCCCACUUAUUCUUUUCAGAAGCAUAAACUUGAUUUUCAAUACAAGUACUCUGAAGGAUAAUUUUAAUAUGCCCUAAAUAGAGAAAAAAAAGAAACCUCAUUGGUGUUCCUUGCUAAUGACAGAAUGAACACUUGGUAUUUUUUCUUCUACAAAAGGAUGCACUGCACUGUGACCUAAACAAAGUUAACAGAUUUUAAUUUUGUUAUUAACUUAAUAACAGACGUGAGCUUCACAGGCUAAAAAGAAAGACUAAACCAACUUGCCAAACUUCAUUUUUAUAUACUUUCCUGAUUUUUAUGCCCUGAUCUAUUUUUCUUUCUCUCUUACAAUUUUAUCUGAGUAAUGCCAGAAUACUGAUUGCAAACAGUUGUAAAAAAAUUUUAUAAAGGUUCUUUAUUCUCUAAGCGUGCACAGCUAUUACAUGUUUUAAUACUUGAUCUCAUUUUCCAAAAGUAAAAUAAUUAUCUUGGUAUAAAUCUCUUCCUAUCACCAGGAUGCUGAGAUUUUUAUUUUUGUCAUCACCAGUAUCAAGAAACAAAAGCAUACAAAAAGUUUUGCAAAGAUAACAGACUUUUUUUUUUUUUGAGAUGGAGUCUUGCCCUGUUGCCCAGGCUGGAGUGCAGUGGUGCGAUUUUGGCUCACUGCAACCUCUGCCUCCUGGGUUCAAGCGAUUCUCCUGCCUCAGCCUCCUGAGUAGCUGGGACUACAGGCACCUGCCACCAUGCCCAGCAAAUUUUUGUAUUUUUAGUAGAGACAGGGUUUCACCAUGUUGGCCAGGCUGGUCUUGAACUCCUGACCUUGUGAUCCGCCCACCUCGGCCUCCCAAAGAGCUGGGAUUAUAGGCGUGAGCCACCACAAUUGGCCAGGUAACAGACUUUGUAAGAGCCAACUUGAGAUACUAUAUUCACCAAUUGAAAUGUCCACCUGUUAUUUCAUUCCAAUGAUACUGUUCAUUUCUCCCAUUAUAUAAUAUAUAACUAAUUUCUAUGGGUAACAUCUAAAUAUACCAGAAUUCUCAAAAGUACUUCUUUCCAAUUAUUUUAUCUAGUGAUUUUUAAUUCAGUAGGCUAUACUCUUUAAAUGAGUAAUAUAUUAUUCACUAAUAGUUGUUUGCUUCUUUUAACAGAUAAAAUUUAAGUUCCAUUCUCUAGACUGUUGCUAGUAUUCUCAAAGAUUUUUCUCUAAAUUCCAUAUUUUUUUUCUUUUCUUUGAGACAAAGUCUCACUCUGUUGCCCAAGCUGGAGUGCAGUAGCGUGAUCUCAGGUCACUGCAACCUCCACCUCCCGGGUUU
rnacentral:lncRNA from 1 species